rnacentral:rRNA from 1 species
ACCUACGGGGGGCAGCAGUGAGGAAUAUUGGUCAAUGGGCUUACGCCUGAACCAGCCAAGUCGCGUGAGGGAAGACUGCCCUAUGGGUUGUAAACCUCUUUUGUCAGGGAGCAAUUGGCGCUACGUGUAGCGUUAUCGAGAGUACCUGAAUAAGGAUCGGCUAACUACGUGCCAGCAGCCGCGGUCAUACGUAGGAUCCGAGCAUUAUCCGGAGUGACUGGGUGUAAAGAGUUGCGUAGGUGGCAUAAUAAGUAGCUAGUGAAAUUUGGUGGCUCAACCAUUCAGACUAUUAGCUAAACUGUUAA